UCGUAAUAUAUAUUUUCAUGCCUUCUUGGAUCUAAGACUUUAUUCUUGGUAGAAUGCUUAUGUUUAUGACGUACCCAUAUGUGACUUACUUAUCUCUGGUAUUUGCACAGAUAUUUUUAUUCUCAAGGUGGAAUGAGGAAACAAACAGAGUUUAUGUGACAUCCAAGUGACAGUGUUGGGGCUUAAGCUCCCGUCUGUCAUUCUAUGAGAACUUGCUACUUCUAUAUGCUGAACAGUUUACUUUUACUUAAUGUCUUAGUUUCAAUUCUGCAGUUAUAGAUGAACUUAGGACCCACUGGAGAGAUGCAAGGAUAUUUAACACCAGUUUUUGUGCUUUUCGAUAUGCUCCUAUGAGCUUUUAAAAUAAAUUUACUAUCUCUUUUUUUUUUUUCCUUUGGGCAAUUGCUUAUUGCUGUUACUAGCAUACCUGACUAAUACCCUGUCUUUCUUCAGUCACUGUUUCUGUUUUCUUCUUCAAAGCUGCUAUGAACAAUAUUAGGGUCUGAAUCGUAUCCUUCCUCCUAAACUUAAAUGUUGACGUUCUACCCCUAGUUCCUCAGCAUAUGGACAUAUUUGGAAACGAGGUCGUUAAAGAGGUUAUUAAAUUAAAACGAUAUCUUUCAGUGGGCCCUCAUCCAACAUGACUUGUGUCCUUAUUAAGAAGAGGAAAUGUGCACACACAUGCACAUGCAUAGAAGAAAUAACACAUGAAUAUACAGGAAGAAGGCUGUCAUCAUGGAAAAUUUGCUCAGUGUGAAACCAGCCCUGCAGACACCCUGAUCGUGGUCCAGCUUCAGAACCUGGGUUCUCAACCUCAAUGUGAUACAAACCAGGGGUGAGGUAUCAAAGUCCUGGGUCAAAGACGUAGCAGUGAACAGAGAAAAAUGAAUAUGGAUGCAAGCAGCAUUACAAAAGAAUCGAUGGAGUUGAGUGGCCUGUUGGAUAAACAAUGGAGAGAGAGGAAAAAUCAAAGUAUCUCGGUUGUGUCCUGGAACUGUGGAACGUCAGGAAUGUCCUGCGAGUCGUGUGUGCUGCAGAUGAUAAUCGGUGCAUGACCUCUUUUCUGAAGGCCCGCCCUGCUGAUAAAAGGGCGUUACUAAUGGAAUGGAUAAAAUAACUUAGAGCCACCAUCAUCCUCAUGAGUUUUCAUUUACCCCAUGAACUUUAGGUCAGAAUUACUUUGAUUCAUAAAAGAGGAAAAGACCUGUGCCAUCAAUUCCCUUCAGUGUGAGAAAUUUCUGUCAUGUUUGGUGAUUACUCUGAUUAGAAUUCUGCAAAAGUUAUUUAUCUUCUACCAAUUAAACCCUGUUCUUCCAUCAUGAAACAGAGAAAAAUAAGGGUACCAUGUUUGUUGAGAGCUGGAUGGGUGAAGGGAAGAUUUUUCAGAGCAUUAAGAAGAUCUGACAUGAUUGUUGAAGGGAAAACACAGGAAGAAACAUCAUGAAUGAUAGGAGGCUGGCUGUUAGUGGAGAGAGAGGCAAGGAAGAGUGAGCUUCCUUGGGGCUCUACAUUUGUGUAACACAGGGCAUAGAGUUAUCUUUAAGAAUGUCCUUAGAAUAAACCUAGUGAAUAGGAACUAGGAUACCA
rnacentral:lncRNA from 13 species